GCUAGUCAGACGCUGGGUGACACUGUUGAGAGAAGAGCAUCGUUGAACGCUCGUAGGGGCGUGUGUGUGUGAGAGACUGCUCACUGAAACCUGCCGAGUGACACACAGGAACUCCUGAAUUGGUCAGGUUUUUUGAGUUGAUUUGAAGUUGAUGGCGAGCCAAACCAGACGAGACCAUUAGAUCCCUGGAUUGAAGAUCCCUGAACCGAGAGCCCAGAGCUAAGAACUGUCAACCUUACCUCUCUCCUGCCACGGCGGUAGGGUAAACAUCUUGCACAAGGCCAGCACCACUUUCAUGCUCAACCCCCAGCCCCACUUGCACAAUCCAAAUUCCCAGACUCUGACUUGACUUGGAAUAGACACUUACCUUCUUCAUUCUUCUUCAAACGCAUUCCCUGUGCCUGUGGAAGGACUGAGCCAUAACCAGCACUGGUUUAAAUGAGUGGACUGAGUAUUCAUGCUAUUGAUAUGGUGUAUUUAUGUGCCUUGGUUAAAGUGAUUUUGUUAUUGCGAGAGCAGUGAAUAGUGAACUGUUGCAAGGUUGAAGAGUGUUGUGAAGUGAUAAUAUUGAACUAGAUAUGGUUCUGAUAUUGAACAACAGAAGAAUAGUUGAAAAGAACUCAGUGGUUCAAAACCAAAGAAAAAGUGACAGAAGAAAUGAUUUAUUGCUAAAUUGAAACUGAGAUAUCUUUGUGGAAUUUAAUUAUUUACUGAAUUUAAGCAAAUAGCCAUUUCUGCCUCCUGUCCCAAUCUGGUAUCCUCUGAUUCUGGUCCAAAAUUAUUAAAAUCCUUAUUAAAUAGUAAUGUUAGGAGCCUAACAUGUUAUCAAACAUUUGCCCAUGUACACAUCCAGCAGAUUCAGAGCACCAUUAGCAUUCAUUUGGAGUCGUGUUUCUGGCCACCUGAUAAAUGGAAAUCCAAUACUGACUCCUUUUGGUCUCCACCAACUCUUCAGAAAAGUAUCUUUAGCUGAGCUGGAACAGUAGACAUGAAUCAAAAGCCACAGUUAAAAUUAGGUAAUAAUUAUCUGUGAGUUCAACACGACAAGCAACAUGCUUUGUAUGACAUGAGUGGUUUGAUUUGUGUUAAUAAAAGAAAAAAAUUAAUUAA